CUUUACUGUAGCUUUGCAGUGGCAUUACGCUUGUUAUGUGUAGCAUAGGUGGGAGACUUUGAAGCUUGGGCGCUAGCCUGAGUGGAGUCAUUAGUGAAAUACCACCCUUGAUUUUCGUGAUGUCUAACCUCGUCCCCUUAUCGGGGACAGGGACCCUGCAUGGUAGGCAGUUUGACUGGGGCGGUCGCCUCCCAAAUUGUAACGGAGGCGCGCGAUGGUAGGCUCAGGUUGGUCGGAAAUCAACCUACGAGUGCAAUGGCAAAAGCCUGCCUGACUGUAACACUGACAAGUGGAGCAGAGACGAAAGUCGGUCAUAGUGAUCCGGUGGUUCCGCAUGGAAGGGCCAUCGCUCAACGAAUAAAAGGUA
rnacentral:rRNA from 1 species